UACAGAGGGUGCGAGCGUUAAUCGGAAUUAUUGGGCGUAAAGAGCUCGUAGGCGGCUUAGAAAGUCAGGUGUGAAACCUCCAGGCUCAACCUGGAGACGCCACUUGAUACUUCUAUGGCUUGAGUUCGGUAGGGGAUCACGGAAUUCCUGGUGUAGCGGUGAAAUGCGCAGAUAUCAGGAGGAACACCGAUGGCGAAGGCAGUGAUCUGGGCCGAUACUGACGCUGAGGAGCGAAAGCGUGGGGAGCGAACAGG
rnacentral:rRNA from 1 species